rnacentral:rRNA from 1 species
GACAGAGGUCUCAAGCGUUAGGCGGAAUCACUGGGCUUAAAGCGUGUGUAGGCGGAUCGUUAAGUGCCUUGUGAAAUCCCACAGCUCAACUGUGGAACUGCUUGGCAUACUGGCGGUCUUGAGCCAUCUAGGGGUCGCUGGAACAAACGGUGGAGCGGUGAAAUGCGUAGAUAUCGUAAGGAAGACCAGUGGCGAAGGCGGGUCUCUGGACAGUUCCUGACACUGAGGCACGAAGGCCAGGGGAGCAAACGGG